GGACCCUUAGCUCAGUUGGUCAGAGCGGUCGGCUCAUAACCGAUUGGUCAUAGGUUCGAGUCCUAUAGGGUCCACCA
rnacentral:tRNA from 1 species